GCCUUCGUGGUGUAACGGUAGCACACUCGACAGGUUAUCGAGAGGUCCGGGUUCAAAUCCCGGUCAAGAGUA
rnacentral:tRNA from 1 species